UACGAAGGGGGCUAGCGUUGCUCGGAAUUACUGGGCGUAAAGGGCGCGUAGGCGGCCCACAUAGUCAGGCGUGAAAUUCCUGGGCUCAACCUGGGGGCUGCGCUUGAUACGUGUGGGCUUGAGGACAGGAGAGGCUCGUGGAAUUCCCAGUGUAGAGGUGAAAUUCGUAGAUAUUGGGAAGAACACCGGUGGCGAAGGCGGCGAGCUGGCCUGUAACUGACGCUGAGGCGCGACAGCGUGGGGAGCAAACAGG
rnacentral:rRNA from 1 species